rnacentral:ncRNA from 1 species
UAGGCAGACAGCAAAGUUCCGGAUGCUCAGGCCGCUCACGAGAAAACUCUCACCGCUUUACUGGCAGCCCAGGGUGGUGCCAAUGUUAUAUACGGUGCAG